AGAAGAAGGCACUGGCAAAUGUUGUGAAGUAUGACCUCUCUGUCUUGCCAUUUUUCAGGCUACAGUUGAGUACUGCGGAAAGGAUUGUAGGAGCGAAUACAAAGGAUGUUUUUAGAACAUAUGAGCUCACAUCUCAUAAGUCUACUCUGAUCUUGCUCUGUGUUUACAUUUGCAAAACAUGAAAUGAUCAAAUCCACUAAUUAUACACAGAUAUAGAAGUAAGGAAAACUGAUGAGGUUGAGUGUUGAUCAGUACAUACACACAUAGGAAGAAACUAUUUUCUACUGUAUUUAGAAAAACAUCUCCCAAAACACGCUCAUGUGUUCUAGGCCCUUGCACAUAUGAAGCUUCCACAAGAGAACUGUCUAUAUAGCAGGAGGACAUGCACAUAGGGCCUACUGCUGCUGAUAAAAACCAGCCCAGCCCUAACGCUGCAGCUCUGGGGAGGAGCCAGCCCUGGAAGCCCAAGUGUUCUUAUUUGGUGAUCAGGCCUGAACACAGACUGCUCACCAUGGAAUUUACAAAGACCUGGGUUUUCCUUCUUGCUGUUUUAAAAGGUGUCCACGCAGAGGUGCACCUGCUGGAGUCCCGGGGAGGCUUGGUGAAGCCUGGGGGCUCCCUGAGACUCUCCUGUGCAGCCUCUGGAUUCACUUUCAGUAGUUACUACAUGCAGUGGAUCAGCCAGUCUCCAGGGAAGGGGCUGGAGUGGAUCUCAUACAGUAGUAACGACGGUGGUACCACGUACUACCCAGACUCCAUGAAGGGUCGAUUCACCAUCUCCAGAGACAACGGCAAGAACACGCUGUAUCUGCAAAUGGACAACCUGAGAACCGAGGACACGGCCCUGUAUUACUGUACCAGACACACAGUGAGGGUAUGUUCAUGUGAGGCCAGAGACAAAUCUCACUGCAGGGGCCCUCAGGAACAGCAGGGGGCGAUGGGGAUCCACCAAGCACAGGGCAGGACCCCAAAGCAGGUGCAGAGCAAGAAGCUCGGGACUGAGGUCUUCCUGUUCGCCUCUGGGGUUUCCUUUAUAUCUUAGCAUCACAUAAUCGGAAGAGACCUGAAGUACACAGGCUUCAGAUGACUUAUGAAGUAUUCAAGAUACAAGUACAGUUUUCGUUAUAUAUAUUUUUUCUUUGUUUCUUUCAUAUGAAUUUUAUUAAAAGGGCAAUAAAUCUCAAGGUAACUUGUA